UGGCGGCGUGCCGUAAUACAUGCAAGUCGAACGGUCUUUCUAUGGAAGCUUGCUUCCAUGAGAAGAUAGUGGCGAACGGGUGAGUAACACGUGGGUAACCUGCCCAUAAGAGGGGGAUAACAUCCGGAAACGGGUGCUAAUACCGCAUAGUUUUCUUGAUCGCAUGAUUGAGAAAGGAAAGACGGCCUUUGUGCUGUCGCUUAUGGAUGGACCCGCGGCGUAUUAGUUAGUUGGUGAGGUAACGGCUCACCAAGACGAUGAUACGUAGCCGACCUGAGAGGGUGAUCGGCCACAUUGGGACUGAGACACGGCCCAAACUCCUACGGGAGGCAGCAGUAGGGAAUCUUCCGCAAUGGACGAAAGUCUGACGGAGCAACGCCGCGUGAGUGAAAGAAGGUUUUCGGAUCGUAAAACUCUGUUGUCAGAGAAGAACAAGUUGGAGAGUAACUGCUCCAGCCUUGACGGUAUCUGACCAGAAAGCCACGGCUAACUACGUGCCAGCCGCGGC
rnacentral:rRNA from 1 species